CUGAACGAAAGCUGUUUAAAUGUGGUUUAAUAACGUUGUGCUGCUGUCCAGGUGAUAACGGGAGGAAAGGUUUCGAAUGGGAGAUUUGCGAACGUGGCGGCAAAUGUGCGUUUCUCUAGAGCACUCCAUUAAAAAAAUGGACACACACACACACAGGAAAAGUAACUGGAUAGUGGAACGAUAGGUGUUUCGAAAGGACGGGUUGAUGACGGCGGGUCGCGGUCUUAGGAAAGGCAUGACCUGCGGAUGAAGCUGGCAGAUGUUGACAAGCGACGAAGAGUCAGAUCGAUGGGUAGCUGAUACGCGGAGAACGAGGAAAUCAGUGGGUCCUGGCUGAGAUCAACUGGGCAUCGGAGCAGCAAACGGGAGUAUUGAUUGUGUGGUGUAGGCAGGGUCGUAGUAGUUGCUAUACAACUUACAAGGACGCACACAAGACAGCGACAGCGAGGCCCAUGCAAGGGAGAGAGAACGAGCUCGUACUAAUUUUAGACGGGUGAAUCUCUGCAAUCCGAGCUGAGGGCAUUUCUUGGAAUGGCAAGUUCUAUCCCAGGGAAGAGGGCUGUUGUGUACACAGAUGAGAAGACACAAAAUGCGCUACUGUGCAAAACAAGCACACAGACAUCAGUCAGGAGGAACAAGGUAAUGUGUUUUUACUUCUUCACCUUGGUCAUGUAGUUUCACUCCCAGCACUGUCAUAUGAAAUAACUGUGGAAAAGACCUCCUCAGCAUUUGGGUUGCUGCAUUUUGCUUCAAUAAUUUUUAACCUUUUAGACAAAGGACACGUUCACCCUUGGUAGAGGUUCAGAGUUUCUUUGAUAUGUCAAGGUGAGAAUUAGCUACUUCAGGUAUUGUCACGCCCUGCACUCUCCUUCGCAAACGCCAUUACAUUCCCAAACCCACUGUUUCACAAUCUCAUUCCUAACUGAACCCAUCACAUUCUCACAGGCACCAUAUUCCACAGAUACUCACUCCUGGACCAAUUAUCCAAUCACGUCCCUCUCCCUUCAGUAUUUAAAAUUCCCACACGCACAAAACCAUGCUCACUAUUGAGAAACCUCCUUUAGAGUUCUCUAGUGCACGUUUUUGUCUUGUUGGAUUUCCUGGAUUUUCUGAUUUAACUUUUCCCUUUUCGAUCUUGUCUCUUGGAUUUCGCCUUCUGGAUUGUCUUCUUGGUUGGUCUCAGCUUGUUCUGGUUAACUGAUCUCUAGCUUCUCCUAUUGACCUUGCUUCUGGAUUACGAUUUUGGUUUGUUUGCCUCUGCAUUCUGCAGAAUUCACAGCUACGCACAGGAUCCCCGGAGAACUACCUGCCAGUUCCCUGACAGGUAUAAAUCAAUCCACAUGACUGAUAAAGGGGCAAUGAACAUGAUAUGGGGCCUUCUUCCAAUUAGAAAUAUAUAAUAAUCAUCAUUAAAUGAUCUAAGACUACCGUAGUAUAAGUUGUCACUUACAGAAUAAUGAGCAAAUCCAUCUUUGUAGACUGCAGCUAUAUUCAAUGGCAUUUCCUUCAUCGAUUUUUUCCUUAAAAACACUGUUUUCCCACAUUCCGAAUAUGGAAUGACUCAAUGUAAAGAAUUCUGGACUUGUAAAAACAAAUUGAAUUAUAAUAAUCAAUGAAAGUGCUUAAAAGCGUCAACAAAUGCCUUCAAAGUACUGUACAUCACAUGGACCCUGAUGCAAAGACCCAAAUAAUCAUUUCAUGAUAUUUUACUUUCAAAAGUGAAACAUAAUCACUUUUGGGACCCAUUCAAGUCCCAAAAAGGACCGAGGAACUCACUGGAGGUGCUCCCUGGAUUUCAAACAGAGUACAAUGUAGUCAAUGUAGGGGAGAAGAUCACAGAGAGCUCUUCUCAGAUUGCUCAGAGUCAGCCCCAGGACCCUGUCCUGACUGAAGGAGACAAAGUGGUCAAACAGGUAAGUAGAACAGAGUAAGGAACAGAUAACAUGGUUAUUCUUGCUUAGUUGUGUUCGUCUGUCAAAGACAAGCAAACAAAACAUGAAGGAAUUGUGCACAUCAUAAAGCAUUUUAAAAGAGUCAUUUGAAAAGUUCUUCCACAAAUACAGAAAGAAAUAUCAGAGCACCACUUUUUCAGCUCUUCAUACUGUAGGUCACGUUGAGCAUAGUUAAACUGCCACUGCAGAUUUCUCUGAUCCUAUAUUAUACUUAGCCUGUAGAUAAACCGUAAUGUCAGCAGAAUGUCAAUGAUCAGUUUUUUGUAUUGUUUUAAUCGAGUACUCAGUAGAGAUUACAUUUUUUAAAUGAAUAAGAAUAUUGGGGAAAUUUGUUUACAACAGACAAUGUAUUGUUUUACUCAUACCUGUAUACUAUUAUGAGAAUAAUAUUACUAACACUAUUAAAAAUACACAGAUUGCUUCAAUAACUGGUGUACAGUAGAAGCUACUCAUACUGUACAUAACUAACUCUUUCAUACUUUCCCCUACACUGGCUUCAAUACAGGGUACCAACCCAGGUUUGACACGUAUGAAUGAACAGCCAUUCCACACUGAGAAGAUUUGAUUGAAUCAGCUUUCUUAUGAUAUACCUUUUCAAGAUGAGUGCUUCUGAAAUAAAGAUGUAAAUCUUUAUUUCAGGAGACGAAGAAACAGUGGUUUCACACUUUGCUCAAGUGUGUGAUACCGUGUGUGUACAACA